GGUCAUCCGUCAUCUUAAUAACACACAACUUGGAUAUUAUUUCACUCUUUGGGAUUUUGCAUCGGUAAAACUUCGUUACAUUUAUACCAGAAAUGCUGUCCACAAAAAUCUUUAGCAGUUUUAUAAUUGAAGAUCUAAAGUUUAUUUGUAGCUUAAUGCCAGACCAGCUCUGAUUGGAUUUGUAUCAUUCUCUUCCACUUACGAUGGACGCUUAAAAGAUUCUUAAGUCACAAAGAUUCACCAUGAUUAUCCAGCCAGUUAUUCAUCACAUGAUGCAGUUGUUGUUGGUGCUCGUGGAGCUGGAUUUUGUGCAGAUUUUGGUUGACUCGCAGGCAACAUAAAUCUUCAAUAGGUGUUGUUCGAUGUAAGUGGCAAUUUUCUUCUUCACUCCCCUGUGGUAAUUUUAAAACAUGUGAUCAGACUCUUCAUUUUCAGCUUGAUGAAAUGAAUCCUAUCAAGUUACGUUAUAGGGCACAGGAAUCCCUUUCUGGAAGUCCACAGCUUUCAAGGCACUCUUCCGAUUAAAAACAUUAUGGUCUGUUUAUUUACAUUUUGUCUUUCUUAAUUUCAUAGUUUGAAAAUCCUGGAGGAAUCUAGUGAUUCAAUAUCCCUUUCAUUUGGCGUCACUGGCAAAGCUGUUCUGCUUGUCAAGCCAUUUCGUCUUGAUGUCUAUGAUGAAGACCAACUAGUCAUCUCUGUGAAUGCAAAAAGCUUGCUGUACCAUCACCUGCACUAUUCGUCGAUGCUUCCGAAAUGAAUAAAUUUCAUGAUUGAAUCUAUCAGUUGUCAGUACGAGGAAAAAACAAAAAGGAGAAACUGUUAGAUCGUUUUCUACAACGACUGAGAGAUAUUGCUUGGGUCUACAAAAAAGGAGGUUGACGAGUUUUUCGACAAGGAAAAGAACUUUAUCCUAGAUUAUCAAUCACUGUUAAAAGAUGCAACCCUUAGGGCUGACAAGUUGACCGAAGCUCAUAAAGGUACGUAUUUGUUUUAAAAGUGGUCGAGUUUGACAGGACAGGAUAAUAAACUUUGUUUGGACUAGACAUAGAUCAUAACCUGACAUUUAUUUUGUUUAUUUGUAAGUUUUGCAUUACAACUAAGUUACCUUGAUAGAUUUUCCAUCGGGAACAUUACUUUGAAAAUGUUUCAGGAACUUUCCACUCUUCACACACAAGCAGUAGCCUCCACAGAUAUCCAGUCCUUUGAAGACUCUAAAAUAAAGAGGGAAUUAAAAUUGUUUAAUGAAAUGUACGAGCAACUUUUUUCUCAUUAUCUCAUACUUCUCUAAUUCAGCUGACAUUUCUCUACUGGACCAGUCUCGAUAGUAGCUUACUGAACAAAUACCUAGUGACAUUCUGGAUAAUUCCUCCAAGUCUUGUUUGAUGGGACAGAUAUAAUUACUAUGCCAUUUUUUCAUCAUGCAACAGAAAAGCUGCUCGCAAGGCUUACUAAGAUUUUCUUUUCCUUUUUGUUUCCGUUGUAGAACUGGAAGCCCAUUUUUCCCUGGAAAUAUAACAACAAUUUCUUAACAAA